rnacentral:siRNA from 1 species
AACAUCACACUGAUUUUCUUGUUC